AUGGUUAAAAGGCAGCAGGAGAAUGGGAAGGGGGGAUCCCUUUGUUCUGUUCCAUGAUGAGGUUCCAAAGAAUGUUAGGGAAACACAUUCUGCAUAGUAGAUGCUUUGAGAUGAAGCCCAGUGGCCAGCUUAGGUCCCAUACCUGAUCUAUCAGGAUAAAGGCCACCACAUGAAUCCUCUGUCUGCCUUCAAUGUAGCCUCCCUAGUACACAAUGGACCCCUCAUCUGCAUACAGGGCCAAUUUUUAACCCAUGAUGGAGCCAGAACUCAUUACCAGGUUGCCGUCACUGAGCUUUCUGGAAAGCAGACAUCAUCACCGCCCCUACUCCCUCCCCCACCCCCAGGGCUGGAUCCUAAUCUCUGAUGCAGACGCACAGUGACGCAGGAUGACGUCUUGUCACUAUGACCAUGCUGCUAUUCCAAAGGACACGGUACAUUACAGGUGUGACCAUGAAGGAGAAGGGCUUUUAACACUGUAGGAAUCCACCCAAGGCACAGGAAGAUAACUAAAGAGCAGCUUCCUUGGGGCAGGAGAAGGACAGAAAUGGCAGCUACCCUUGAGAGGGUUACAAUGAAGAGUGUGGGGUGUGUGGACCAUGACACAAGAGAAACCCGCAUGGAACUGGUGAAGUGGAGCAUGGUCAAACCCCAGAAAUCUCAAAACUUGAGACCAUCAGGAGUGGAAUUAGUUCCCCUACUUCUAUGCCUGUCUUGGGACUCAUAACCAGAUGACCCCCAACCAGGUAGUCACUGGCAGUCAGUCACCUAGCACCCGGAUUGCCUCUCCAUGCUAAUGAGGCAUCUCAGUACCUUAGCUUUCAGCUAAUGACCUUUUCCCAUCCUGGAUAUUCUCACCCCAAAAUUGUAUAACCCUUGGUUCUUCCUGAAUAAAGUGUAUGUGUUCCAACU